rnacentral:rRNA from 1 species
GACGAACGCUGGCGGCGUGCUUAACACAUGCAAGUCGAACGGAAAGGCCCUGCUUUUGUGGGGUGCUCGAGUGGCGAACGGGUGAGUAACACGUGAGUAACCUGCCCUUGACUUUGGGAUAACUUCAGGAAACUGGGGCUAAUACCGGAUAGGAGCUCCUGCUGCAUGGUGGGGGUUGGAAAGUUUCGGCGGUUGGGGAUGGACUCGCGGCUUAUCAGCUUGUUGGUGGGGUAGUGGCUUACCAAGGCUUUGACGGGUAGCCGGCCUGAGAGGGUGACCGGCCACAUUGGGACUGAGAUACGGCCCAGACUCCUACGGGAGGCAGCAGUGGGGAAUCUUGCACAAUGGGCGGAAGCCUGAUGCAGCAACGCAGCGUGCGGGAUGACGGCCUUCGGGUUGUAAACCGCUUUCGCCUGUGACGAAGCGUGAGUGACGGUAAUGGGUAAAGAAGCACCGGCUAACUACGUG